GCAGAAACGUAGCAACGGCACCAGGGAAGCUUCGCAGCAACGCAACAAUGGCAGAUGGCAGGCACGGAGGAAGAAGAAACGAAGACAAGAAGAAAGAAGGCAGAAAGGAGUGAAAGAAAAAACAAGGGACAUCGCGUUUUCUUUUUAAAUUUUAACUUAAGGGCAAUUUUGCCAUUUCAUAAAAUUGCUAGGUGCACCAGCAACUGGGUGCACCUAGCAUGUCCCGUGUUGCUUCUACUUUUCUACGGAUCCUUGGCAAAAUCCUUCAAAAUGUUACUUUGUGCACCCUCGUAUAGAAGUCCUUCAACCUUGAUGGUGACACUAACUCACACCGAAACCAAUGGGCAAAAUCAAUGUAGAGACCUUUAAUUUGUUUUUUAGAGAACAAAUUCAAAUAUCUAGAUAAAGCUCUUCUGAUACCAAUGGAGCAAGACCCAAACUAUAAAUCAUGGAAAAAGGUUUAAUAACAUUAACUAUCUCAUUCAUGGAUUAUGAACUCAAUAUCACCUUCAGUCCUUCACUAAUCACUAGUCACUAACACGUACAGAGCGUGGUAUAUGUGGAGAAACGUGUGUGAAUAGUCACACAUGAUUAUGUGAUUAGUCAUGUGGGUUUUUUCAAUAGAAAAUAAAUUAUGCACAAAUACUUGGUUAGUUUUGGUAGUUGGGACUUAAUUGGACUUUAAGAAUGUGGUCAGAAAAAUCAUUAUUGGAAGAAGACAAUCCACCUAUGAGUGUCAACAGAUUCUUUGAAAGAAGUUUAGAAAUUCCAAUGAUCAAAUAUUCCUUUAUACU
rnacentral:lncRNA from 1 species